GGAGAGGUGGCUGAGUGGUUUAAGGCAGCGGUCUUGAAAACCGUCGUGGGUUCGCGCUCACCGAGGGUUCGACUCCCUCCCUCUCCGCCA
rnacentral:tRNA from 2 species